CAAACGUGGAGGGAACAAACCCGUCGGUUUUGGGCAGGCCGGUCGACACAUCCAGAAAUGCUGAAAUGAACGUUGUUGAUGUCACUGUAGCUCCGUGUUCCGUUUGCUCUCAUGUGCAGCAUACAUCAGUGCUCCAGAAGAAGAACACAUCUAGAUCUAGAGAGUUUCUCCGGAAUUGCUCCUCCACAUUUUUCCUCUUGAGAAAGGCCCAGGCUCAACACCAGCAUCGUUAGAGCCAAGGAUUAUAAGAGAGCAGAAGGGCUUUUUUCUCUGCUUGAUUUUGGGAUUCUGCUAAGCUACCACAGCCUUAUUAGAUCAUGGCGCUGUAAAAAGACUUGGGGAAUGCUGCAACUGGUUUUGUUCACCAACUCCUUAACUCAAGACCAGAUAAGAACGCACAGGCAAUAUGCAAUGCAUGGGAACUCUCUAGUCUUAAAUUCUGUCCUUCCUGACCCCCUGAUAGUGUUUCUGCACUGCAAGUAAAUCUGCCCUGGAUAACUUUCCUUUAAAAGAGGGAAGCUUUGUUUUUCCUCAGAGGGACAAGGAGUUAA
rnacentral:lncRNA from 1 species